GAUUGAACGCUGGCGGCAGGCCUAACACAUGCAAGUCGAGCGGAUGAAGGGAGCUUGCUCCUGGAUUCAGCGGCGGACGGGGGAGUAAUGCCUAGGAAUCUGCCUGGUAGUGGGGGAUAACGUCCGGAAACGGGCGCUAAUACCGCAUGCGUCCUGAGGGAGAAAGUGGGGGGUCUUCGGACCUCACGCUAUCAGAUGAGCCUAGGUCGGAUUAGCUAGUUGGUGGGGUAAAGGCCUACCAAGGCGACGAUCCGUAACUGGUCUGAGAGGAUGAUCAGUCACACUGGAACUGAGACACGGUCCAGACUCCUACGGGAGGCAGCAGUGGGGAAUAUUGGACAAUGGGCGAAAGCCUGAUCCAGCCAUGCCGCGUGUGUGAAGAAGGUCUUCGGAUUGUAAAGCACUUUAAGUUGGGAGGAAGGGCAGUAAGUUAAUACCUUGCUGUUUUGACGUUACCAACAGAAUAAGCACCGGCUAACUUCGUG
rnacentral:rRNA from 1 species